GUCCUCACUCAGGCAACACAUAUAACAAAAGUUGGAAUGAUAAAGAGAAGACGGGCAUGGAUCCAUGCAGAUAACACACAAAUCCAUGAAGUGUUCCAUAUUUGG
rnacentral:snRNA from 1 species